rnacentral:rRNA from 1 species
GACGAACGCUGGCGGCGUGCCUAAUACAUGCAAGUCGAGCGGACGGAUGGGAGCUUGCUCCCAGACCGUCAGCGGCGGACGGGUGAGUAACACGUGGGCAACCUGCCUGUAAGACUGGGAUAGCUCCGGGAAACCGGGGCUAAUACCGGAUAACUCUUUCCCUCACAUGAGGGAAAGCUGAAAGAUGGCAUCUCGCUAUCACUUACAGAUGGGCCCGCGGCGCAUUAGCUAGUUGGUGAGGUAACGGCUCACCAAGGCGACGAUGCGUAGCCGACCUGAGAGGGUGAUCGGCCACACUGGGACUGAGACACGGCCCAGACUCCUACGGGAGGCAGCAGUAGGGAAUCUUCCGCAAUGGACGAAAGUCUGACGGAGCAACGCCGCGUGAGUGAUGAAGGUUUUCGGAUCGUAAAACUCUGUUGUCAGGGAAGAACAAGUACCGGAGUAACUGCCGGUACCUUGACGGUACCUGACCAGAAAGCCACGGCUAACUACGUG